UGCCAGCAGCCGCGGUAAUACGGAGAGUGCAAACGUUGUUCGGAAUCAUUGGGCGUAAAGCGCGCGUAGGCGGCUAGUUAGGUCGGGUGUGAAAGCCCAGGGCUCAACCCUGGAACUGCGCUCGAAACCGGCUAGCUUGAGUUCUUGAGGGAGAAGUGGAAUUCCUGGUGCAGGGGUGAAAUCCGUAGAGAUCAGGAGGAACACCGGUGGCGAAGGCGACUUCUUAGCAAGACACUGACGCUGAGGUGCGAAAGCGUGGGUAGCAAACAGGAUUAGAUA
rnacentral:rRNA from 1 species